UGAUGUCCACUUUGAUUACCUCUGCAAAGGAUUGGCCGAAACAAUCUGAAACUCUUUUUAGGAAGAAGAUUUCUAUGUUAUCCAAAGUGAACCAUAAGAAUUUCAUCAACCUUCUUGGGUAUUGCGAGGAAGGAGAACCUUUCACCAGAAUGAUGGUGUUUGAAUAUGCCCCAAAUGGUACAUUGUUUGAGCACCUACAUGUUAAAGAAGCAGAGCCCCUGAACUGGUUUGCGCGGCUACGAGUCGCCAUGGGAAUAGCAUAUUGUCUCGAGCACAUGCACCAGCUUAACCCACCCGUUAUUCUUAGAAAUCUGGACUCAUCAACGAUCUACCUAACUGAUGAUUACGCUGCCAAGAUCUCGGAUCUUGGGUUCUGGAACAUAGAGAAAGAAGCUGAGACUGUUUCAGGGAACUCAACUCCCUUGGAUACACCCAAGUCUGACACCGAGAGCAUUGUGUAUAAAUUUGGGAUAGUACUGCUCGAGUUGUUGUCGGGUAGGGUUCCAUUUUCUGCUGAAGAAGGUCUCCUUGAGCAGUGGGCAUCGAGUUAUUUAACCGGGAAGCGACCCCUUAAAGAAAUGGUCGAUCCAACCCUAAAAUCCUUGCGCGAUGAGGAGAUCAAUGCACUGUGUGAGGUGAUACGAUCCUGCAUUAAUCUAGACCUGUUGGAAAGGCCGACAAUGGCACAAAUUGCUCGUCAGCUGAGAGACAUCACAGCGAUGUCACCAGAAGGCGCAACCCCGAAAUUG
rnacentral:misc_RNA from 1 species